rnacentral:tRNA from 1 species
GACCUUAUAGCUCAAGUGGAUAGAGCACUCGUUUCCUAAACGAAUGAUCCAGGUUCAACUCCCGGUGAGGUCACCA